ACUCCUACGGGAGGCAGCAGUGAGGAAUAUUGGUCAAUGGGCGAGAGCCUGAACCAGCCAAGUCGCGUGAAGGAAGAAGGUUCUAUGGAUUGUAAACUUCUUUUGUAAGGGAAUAAAAAAGAGUACGUGUACUCUAUUGUAUGUACUUUACGAAUAAGGAUCGGCUAACUCCGUGCCAGCAGCCGCGGUAAUACGGAGGAUCCGAGCGUUAUCCGGAUUUAUUGGGUUUAAAGGGUGCGUAGGCGGACUUAUAAGUCAGCGGUGAAAGUUUGCAGCUUAACUGUAAAAUUGCCGUUGAAACUGUUAGUCUUGAGUGUAAAUGAGGUAGGCGGAAUGUGUUGUGUAGCGGUGAAAUGCUUAGAUAUAACACAGAACACCAAUUGCGAAGGCAGCUUACUGGGAUACAACUGACGCUGAGGCACGAAAGCGUGGGGAUCAAACAGGAUUAGAUACCCUGGUAGUCCACGCAGUAAACGAUGAAUACUAACUGUUUGCGAUAUACAGUAAGCGGUACAGCGAAAGCGUUAAGUAUUCCACCUGGGGAGUACGUUCGCAAGAAUGAAACUCAAAGGAAUUGACGGGGGCCCGCACAAGCGGAGGAACAUGUGGUUUAAUUCGAUGAUACGCGAGGAACCUUACCCGGGCUCGAACGGUGCAUGAAUGAUUCAGAGAUGGAUUAGUCCUUCGGGACAUGUAUCGAGGUGCUGCAUGGUUGUCGUCAGCUCGUGCCGUGAGGUGUCGGCUUAAGUGCCAUAACGAGCGCAACCCUUGUCAUUAGUUGCCAUCGGGUAAUGCCGGGAACUCUAAUGAGACUGCCACCGUAAGGUGCGAGGAAGGGGGGGAUGACGUCAAAUCAGCACGGCCCUUACGUCCGGGGCGACACACGUGUUACAAUGGGGGGUACAGAGGGUCGCUACCUGGUGACAGGAUGCUAAUCUCAUAAAGCCUCUCUCAGUUCGGAUCGGAGUCUGCAACUCGACUCCGUGAAGCUGGAUUCGCUAGUAAUCGCGCAUCAGCCAUGGCGCGGUGAAUACGUU
rnacentral:rRNA from 1 species